CCAAAGGGGAAAAACAUUUGGAUUUUGAAUUGCCCCUUGAUUGCUAGCACUAGCACCAUAGGACAUGAUUGCUAGCACUAGCACCAUAAGACAUACUUCCCAUGCUACUAUUACUUGAACCACCAGUUCUAUGCAUAGGAGCCAUAAACACUGUUUGUAAUGCAAACCAUUUGGCUGCUGAGUGCUAGGUUGUGCUAGGUGUUUACCCUCCCUGGUCUGGUUUUUAGCUUGAUCACUUAUCUUCUGGGCCUGAGAUUUAUCAGUUUGAACUUGGACAGGUAAUGGAGUAUUGACAACAACGUAUCUUGUUUCUUAUCAUGUGUCACCCCUUGUUUCCCCACCUACUGCUGAUUAGGCUUUUGAUAACCUCUAUAUCCAUUUCUCUCCUUGAUAGGUGGUUUCUGAACUUGUUUCCCUUUCUGUUGGCCUUGAGGCUUGUUAGGUUCUUCUUUACAUUCAUGUCCAUGCUCAACACAAUUUUUGCAGAAAAGAGGUCUCCAAUCAAACACCACAGCCUGGGUGAAAGAAUUUCCACUUUCAUCUGUGACUUGAAUCUUUGUUGGUAAAUCCUGAGUGAUAUCCAUAUCCACUAGGACUCUAGCAUAAGAGAGAUAAGUCUGUUGUUUAGUACACUCAUCAGUAUAUAAAGGUUCCCCUAAUCUGCUAGCUAUCUUGCUCAUACAAUUCCCCAGUGAUUGAGUGGCAAUUUAGGAAACCUUACCCAUAAAGGCAUGGUUCUAGGGAAAUCCCGUUGGAAAUCAAAGUUUGGGGUCCAAGGUUUCAAAAUUAGUGGUCUGAUGUUUAGAGUGUAUGGCCCAGAAUACAAUACAUCAUCUAUGUCAUCCAUACUCUUGAAUUUCACUAUGUAAUAGUCCUCAUCAUGCCAAUACAAAGUUGGCUUGGCUACAUGAUUCCAGUUCUUUGCAAUGUAUUUACUAAUGUAACUAAAGAAGGGAACAUCUCCCAUGACAUACAAUACCAAGGCAUUCGACCACUCCUUGGUCUGUUCAGCUGUAUCACCUUUCAACUAUCACCAUCGGUUUCCCAUCUAUUACUAUCGGAGGAAUAUAGGAAAGGGCCAUACCAUUUGCUGCACUCUGGUUGUUUGCAAAUAAACCAUUCCAAGCUCGAGUCUGCUUUGUAUUGUCAGUCACCUGUUUCUCUUGAACGCUGUUCUUCUUCAGCUACUCCCUUAGCAUCACCUUUCUGUUGUGUAGGUGUACUGUUCUUCGCUGGUUCUACAGCAGAUUAUAUCUCUGUCGUAGUCCUCGCGGUAGAUUUCUCUUUUCCACUCACGUUCACCACAAGGAUUGAAGCUAAUUUCGUCGUCGAUUCUACCGUUGUAGGAGGUUUCAGCCUCUGAAUCCCAGAACUCUGCUCACUAGGUUUCGCCGGUGUUUUAUGGAUUGGGGUUUGGGCCAUAAUCCCCUUAUUUGCCAAUUUCCGCAUCCCAUCAGAAAUCAAAGCUUGUAUUUGCGCUGCAGUGCUAGAUGUUGUUUCCUUUCUCACGAUUACUCCUUGCUUUUCCUCUUCCUUCCGAGGCCAACCUCGACCUCGCUUUGCCAUGGAGAAAUGGAGUUACGGCGCACUUUAGCAAGAUGGGCUAAACAUACAGAUUUUUCUUAGCCACUUGAUGAAGGAAGACCUUAUUUAUAGAUUUAGAAAAAUGACUGUUCCGAAUAGUCAUCUUAUUUCAUGAACAGACAUGUCCAUAAACUUCAAAUUUUAAAUAAAUUCUGAGAAUACAAAGGUUUUUAAUAUUUAAAGCCUUCAAACGCUUUUCGCCUUCAGUUGUGGUACAAUCCCACUUCAUAUAUAUUACAAACUUCUAUCGCCUCAUGAUACAUGGUAAUUGAUGGAGUAAAUUAAUUACUUUAAUUUAUCAAUCCAAAAAAUCUUGAACGUGUUGAAUGAUGUGCCACCCUUUGCUUGAUAAUCAACGAAAUAUUAGAUAAUGUUGAAAAGGAAAGAUCCUUACUGGCAUAACAAUACAAAUUUUACAUCUUUGAUAUAAGGGUAUGCAAUUUGCAUAGAUUUUAUCAUAUCCAAAUGGUAAAAUUGGCUUAGGAUACUUGCUAGAUUAUAUGACAAAACAUGGUAAACUUGGCUUAGGAUCUCAGGCAUUCGUUUAAAUUGACCAAUUGAGCACUACAAGUAUAUUAUCUUUUCAGUGUUUCUAUAAUGUUUUAAAAGUUUUUCCAUUUUACAUGAGUAGUGAAAUACUUUCCUUUGUUAAAUCUCGUACUUUAGAUUCUAUCAAUUCUCAGUAAUGGCUAGCUGGUCUGAUAUUACUUUCCUUUGUUCCAUAUUAUAUGAAGGUAUUUACUAGACAUGAUGUUUAAGGUGUUGAAUUUGACAUAUAUAUUAUAGUAGCAACAAUUAAAAAGAGUAAUAUGAUUGAAAAGUUAGUUUUAUUGAGAAAGUAUCACAUUAAGAUUCGAAUUUGAAUUGCACGCAAAAUGCGUGAUGUCUUGGGCUCGUUGAUGCCAUUCAUUUGAUUUUUUUUUUUAAAUAAAAGAAUCUCUUUAAAAUGAUUACGUUCAUUGAUCAGAUGUCCAAGAAAUUGAAAAAAAAAAAAACUGAACUACAUUCUUAAACUACAUGUUGAUUAAAAUUUUAUCAUGCAACUGAACUCCAUUUUUUUUAUUUGCGGUGCUUUUUGUAAUAUCAUGGAGAGUUUUACUGGGAAGGUAAUGGAUUCUAGCGUAAAGGAUGCCAGAAGUGUUAUUGACUUCGAUGAGAAUUUGAGGAAACUCUGGAAACAAAUAUAAAGCAAUUAUCAGAUAAAGCAGUUGAUGUGAAGACAGAGGUUGAGAAUCUAGAGCAAUAUGGGAAGAAGAAGAGGAAAAGAGAAAUUGAUUCUUGGUUUGACGAUGUUAUGAAGGUCGAAAAAGAAUUAAGUGCCUUAAAAGAUGAAGUAACAAGAGGGGAGAUAAAUCCUGGUGCUUUGGAGAAGGUGAAUGAAAGGGCUGGAGAACUUCUUGAGAAAAGUAAACAUUUUGGAACGUUCGUACAUGAUAUGUAUGAGCGCGAGGAGUGUCUACUGCUAGUGCCUCAAGUUCACGAGAAAAUAUCAGAAAAAAAUAUAGAAGACAUUUGGUCGUGGUUACAGGAUAAUAAUGUCUCAAGCAUCGGUAUACAUGGUAAGGAAGGUGUGGGCAAAACGACUUUGGCAAAGCAUAUACAUAAUCGUCUUCUUAAAGAGACUCAGUAUCAAGUCUGUUGGAGUUCUUGUCUCUCAGUGGUUUAGCAUCAAAAGAUUACAAGAUGGUCUUGCCAAACAUGUGAAUCUGGAUCUUUCCGAUGAGGUUGAUGAGCAGAGAAGGGCAGCCAAAUUAAGCCAGACAUUCAAAAAAAGUAAGAAGAUUUUGGGUGACCCUCUUGUUGUGGAAGGCUGUAGACUGAUUCUAACUACUCGCUUGUAUGAAGUCUGCCGAAACAUGGGUUGUAAGAAACUACUCUAAGUGAAGGAACUCAAUACUGAUGAUGCUUGGGAAUUGUUUAGGAAGAGUCUAGAGUCCGAGACUGUGCUUAGUCCAUAUAUCGAGCCUAUUGCCAAAUCCAUGGCAAGAAAGUGCAAGGGCUUGCCACUCGGGCUCAUCACUUUGGCAGAAAGCAUGAGAGGGGUGACUGAAAAAGAUUGGCGGGAAACAUUUGGAGUGGGAACAAUCCCAUCUCAAGACCCUCUUCCAACCUUACAUUACAUAUGUGCGUGAUCUGUAUGGCUAACAGUCCAUUUUGAGUUUCUUUUAAUACAAAAGAAACAUUUGUUUUGUUC